CUACGUGCCAGCAGCCGCGGUAAUACGUAGGGCGCGAGCGUUGUCCGGAAUUAUUGGGCGUAAAGAGCUUGUAGGCGGUUUGUCGCGUCUGCUGWRAAAGGCCGGAGCUUAACUCCGUGUAUUGCAGUGGGUACGGGCAGACUAGAGUGCAGUAGGGGAGACUGGAAUUCCUGGUGUAGCGGUGGAAUGCGCAGAUAUCAGGAGGAACACCGAUGGCGAAGGCAGGUCUCUGGGCUGUAACUGACGCUGAGAAGCGAAAGCAUGGGGAGCGAACAGGAUUAGAUACCCUGGUAGUCCAUGCCGUAAACGUUGGGCACUAGGUGUGGGGAACAUUCCACGUUUUCCGCGCCGUAGCUAACGCAUUAAGUGCCCCGCCUGGGGAGUACGGCCGCAAGGCUAAAACUCAAAGAAAUUGACGGGGGCCCGCACAAGCGGCGGAGCAUGCGGAUUAAUUCGAUGCAACGCGAAGAACCUUACCAAGGCUUGACAU
rnacentral:rRNA from 1 species